CCUACGGGUGGCAGCAGUGAGGAAUAUUGGUCAAUGGGCGCGAGCCUGAACCAGCCAAGUAGCGUGAAGGAUGACUGCCCUACGGGUUGUAAACUUAUUAUAUAAAGGAAUAAAGUGAGGCACGUGUGCCUGUAUGUAUGUAUUUUAUGACUAAGGAUCGGCUAACUCCGUGCCAGCAGCCGCGGUAAUACGGAGGAUCAGGGAGUUAUCCGGAUUUAGUGGGUUUAAAGGGAGCGUAGAUGGGUUGUUAAGUCAGUUGUGAACGUUUGCGGCUCAACCGUAAAAUUGCAAUUGAUACUGGCAGCCUUGAGUACAGUUGAGGUAGGCGGAAUUCGUGGUGUAGCGGUGAACUGCUUAGAUAUCACGAAGAACUCCGAUUGCGAAGGCAGCCUACUAAACUGCCACUGACAUUGAUGCUCGAAAGUGUGGGUAUCAAACAGGAUUAGAUACCCGGGUAGUC
rnacentral:rRNA from 1 species